GGGAGAAUGGGCUGGCAGAGAAUAGAAGAGAGAAAUCAAAUAACCUUUUAAACAAUCUGGGGGUUAAGGGAUUGUUUGAGCCAUUCAGAUCAAAGAAGUCUCUUUGGGGUGCUUCAGAAGAGGCCCAAUAAAGUUGGUGCUAAGGAGACUCACAAAGCUAGGUGGCAGCUUACAUAUGAAGGGACCUGCUAAGAGGUUAUGGAAGUGGUUCUACCCAUGUUAUCACCUUGGCAGUCACCACCCCUCAAGUGCAACUUUAAAGAAGCUGACACUGAAGAUUAUUUGGAAGCCAUAACCAAUAGAGCACACCACGUGAGCCCAUUAGGAGACCGGCUCCUUCCCACCUGCCACCUCACGCCAGCCAGCAAUCUCAGCGUCCCCACUCCACUCUUGCUCAUGUAGAGCUAUCCAAUCCUGAGUGGCAGGACUUGGCAGGACAGCUGUUGGGCUCCCCACACAUUUGGAGGAGGGGAAAAUAUGAGGGCCAUCUGUCCCUCUGAAACUGCCUUUGGUUGCACAGUUUUGAAUCCAGGGGACAAUCCACGUGAAGAAGUGAUUGUCCCUUCAUGUUUUCUCGGAAGGGAUUACAAUUUUUUAAAAAACACCCUUUGUUUUUGUUCUUUGCACGUUCUCCAGUUGAAAUACUGCACUCAUUGAACUGCCAGGAAUAAAGCCUGGGAGCGGACACUGGGCUGGUGUGACGUCAAUUUGUUAAGCAAGGGCACUGUUCCCUAAAUAUGCUGGAAUUAUGUGCAUUCUUUAUUAAGAAAAGUGGGGGGAUGGCUCUUUGGAUGCUUGACAUAGUUAUCUUUCAACCUCUUCUGCUCCAUUUAAAACUAAGAUUCUUUGUCUUCGUUGGUGUCUGUCAUUUAAGACCAUGUGGUUGGCAAGUUAAUGCACUGAAGAAUGAAAAAAAAAAAUCUUUUGUGUCCUGACCUUCAUGAAUUCAAUAACUCAAGAUGGCCACACACCUAUGAGUCUGAAUCAAAGAUAUUCACAGAUCCAGUAAGAGAUAAAGAAGGAAUUUGUCUACAGGAUUCUUUUAUCCUGGAGGUGCUUCAUGUCACCCAGUUGUGUGGCUGUUUUUUUUACAAAGCCAUUGCCCCUCUAGGAAGUAUUGAUUUAGUCUGGUUAAACAUGUCAAGUGAGAGGAAAUGAUCAAUGAAUCACUGCUUCAAAACAUUUAGCCCAGCCAUGGAAUCUGCUGAUUUUUGUAAUCUCGAAGAGGCUGAUGCAGGAGCUUGGGGGAAGAAGUGAAAAUUCCAAAUGUUUCCUUCAUCUUUUUUUUUUCCAUGUCCAUAAAUGAAAACACAAGUUCAAGAAUAUUGUU